AAAUUAUCGCAUGAUUCAGUUGAUACUGAUGAUUGCGUAACACAGUUCUUGCCUUGGCAGCUGUGAGAUCUUUUGUGCACUGUAAUAACCCCCCAACUUGAAUUAGUCUGAUUUUUAUUCUUUUGCUACGCUUCAUUUUACAUGAAAACGUGCAGAUAUGAAUUAAUA
rnacentral:misc_RNA from 1 species